UCCGAGCGCUCUAAAAUUCAUCUUGUCUAGGUUUUUUUGGGCGAGGCGUUCUGAGGCUCCGACUUUUAGAGAGUUCUCUUCCGAUGUGUUUUUCCUACAAGUGUUUGGCUACGCGGAAGUGCCAUAUUUUUGUCACCUUCCUCCUUUUUUUGUUCCUGUUUUUCAAUGUGGAGGGAGCCUGUACUGCAUGGUGUUGUGCUGCUGGUCGGACAACUCGCUUGGUGGGCGACGUUGGAAAACGGACUGGAUUCUCGGCAGUGUUGCUUUGUUGCUGCGUGGUUGCGGCUAGUGGAUGCUUGAAAACGGUCACAUUAUUGAUCGUGAGAUGCGGCCCUGCUGGUCGUGCAGCGGUUGAGCUCACGUAGGCUCGAGUGCGGUCGGAGUCAUGCAUUCGAUGCUGCCGAAGAUCGAUUGAGCCUUGAUUUGCAGGACACAAAGAAGAGACGGGGGCGAACAAGUGAAGAUCGCGUCGCACUUCGGAGAGUUGUUGAGCAGGUUCGAAGGUUGUUGACAACACAAGUUGCAAAAGCGUCAAAUUUGACUAGCGGUACUUAUCCCUUAGGCGAUUGAUGGUGCGGACGACGAUUCGGUGCGAUUCGGGAUCUGGUACAGGUUGCGACUUCUGUGCGAUGCCGGUAGUUGGAGUAGCGCAUUGGCGUAGUGUUGGUAUGGUUUCAACUUGUAUGGUCUAGUGCGUGUUGGCGGUUCUGCGCGGUGGUAGAGGCUUGCGGUGGCGCUGGUUCGACCAAGAUUUCAAUCACCGACAACUUUUUUUUUUUUUUUUUUUUUUUUUUUGUUUGUUUCCCUCGGAGUGAUUGACUCUACGGAGGACUGUGGAGAGCUGGCUGUAUUGUUCUAGUCUAGAUUUGGUGCUGUAAGUGUAAUGCGGCAAUAGUUCAAGAGAGGCUUGUGAAAUCAAUUUUUAUGUUGCGCUCAUGUUAGUAAGAGCAUGGUGAUGGCCUGUUGGUGAAGGGCAAGUAAGAUACGACAGAAUCCUUGACUAGUAGCUCAAUAUCUGCACAAGCGCAGGAAAAUCAAGAUUUUUUUGAAUUUUUCCGUAGACGGCUCAUUCACUUAAGCGAAAAAGCCAUUAUCGACGUGGGAACACUAGACUCCAAAGUUACCUCCAGCUCCUCCGAUCGCGCGGUGUGUUCAGUCAGAGGAGUUGUACCGGAUGUGGUGGCGCAACGGCAUGAAGUGGAGCUGUAGAAUUCACUUUGAAGAGUGCAGUUCAUGGUCAUGUUAUUGCUAUUCGCACAAUCAAUAGAGUUAAAUUGUAUGUACUACAGCUCGGUGUCUGAUUGGAGGGAGCCUGCACACUACAAUGACAGCUCAUCUAGCAAUCAGGCAACCUGGUAGACGGUGUUGGAGCUGGCAGCAGGAAGCAGCGACGGCGAUUCCCUUCACCCACAUUUUGCUCAAUAAGCAUUCCAGGUUGGAUUGGUUAGGCGGAUGAAUCACAAUGGAUCAACUAUGAUAGAAUAAUGAUUAGACUAGGAUUUAAACAAUUCAGGGUUUAAACAAUUUAGGAUUUUUUAAGCUUUAAAUAAAAACUAAAAUUUCUAAGAUUAA